rnacentral:rRNA from 1 species
GCAUGAAGUCGGAAUUGCUAGUAAUCGCGGAUCAGCAUGCCGCGGUGAAUACGUUCCCGGGCCUUGUACACACCGCCCGCCACACCAUGGGAGCCGGUAAUACCCGAAGUCAGUAGUCCAACCUCGUGAGGACGCUGCCGAAGGUAGGAUUGGCGACUGGGGUGAAGUCGUAACAAGGUAAC